rnacentral:lncRNA from 1 species
GCGACGAGGGGAUUGGCCGCAACAACCCAGAUGGCCUAGUGAACUUCACACUUGCGUAGAAAGACCGGCGUGGCUUGAAGUUUCACCAUUGUCUGAGUUUGCAGCCUAUUGAUGGUUUGAUAGACAGGACUGUCUUUGGAACCAGCAAGUUUUUGAAUUUUCAUCGACAUCAAGUUCACGCCAAGGCACGCACUUGGGAUCAAAUGC